rnacentral:rRNA from 1 species
UACGUAGGGCGCAAGCGUUGUCCGGAAUUAUUGGGCGUAAAGAGCUCGUAGGUGGUUUGUUACGUCUGCUGUGAAAACCUAGGGCUUAACCCUGGGCCUGCAGUGGAUACGGGCAGACUAGAGUGAUGUAGGGGAGACUGGAAUUCCUGGUGUAGCGGUGAAAUGCGCAGAUAUCAGGAGGAACACCGAUGGCGAAGGCAGGUCUCUGGGCAUUAACUGACGCUGAGGAGCGAAAGCAUGGGGAGCGAACAGG